rfam:Glycine soja cultivar W05 scaffold307_38, whole genome shotgun sequence.
UUCUUAUUGGAUAAUGACUAUCACGUGUCUUGUUCUGAUUGGAUGUCAAUCCCAUGGAAAAUGAAAUGCAUUGUUGUUUUCAUUUACCAAUCAGAACAUAACAUGUGAUAGUCAUCAUCC